GUGGGGAAUAUUGGACAAUGGGCGAAAGCCUGAUCCAGCCAUGCCGCGUGUGUGAAGAAGGUCUUCGGAUUGUAAAGCACUUUAAGUUGGGAGGAAGGGCAGUAAGUUAAUACCUUGCUGUUUUGACGUUACCGACAGAAUAAGCACCGGCUAACUUCGUGCCAGCAGCCGCGGUAAUACGAAGGGUGCAAGCGUUAAUCUGAAUUACUGGGCGUAAAGCGCGCGUAGGUGGUUUUGUAAGUUGGAGGUGAAAUCCCCGGGCUCAACCUGGGAACUGCCUCCAAAACUGCAUGACUAGAGUACGGUAGAGGGUAGUGGAAUUUCCUGUGUAGCGGUGAAAUGCGUAGAUAUAGGAAGGAACACCAGUGGCGAAGGCGACUACCUGGACUGAUACUGACACUGAGGUGCGAAAGCGUGGGGAGCAAACAGGAUUAGAUACCCUAGUAGUCC
rnacentral:rRNA from 1 species